rnacentral:rRNA from 1 species
GACGUAGGGCGCGAGCGUUGUCCGGAUUUAUUGGGCGUAAAGAGCUCGUAGGCGGCUUGUCGCGUCGUCCGUGAAAACCCACAGCUCAACUGUGGGCUUGCGGUCGAUACGGGCAGGCUAGAGUUCGGUAGGGGAGACUGGAAUUCCUGGUGUAGCGGUGAAAUGUGUAGAUAUCAGGAGGAACACCGAUGGCGAAGGCAGCUUGCUGGGACGGUACUGACGCUGAGACGCGAAAAGCGUGGGGGAGCAAACAGG